GGUGUUUAGGUAUGCUGUACUCUGUAAUGGUGUCUAGGUAUGCUGUACUCUGUAAUGGUGUUUAGGUAUGCUGUAUCUCUGUAAUGGUGUCUAGGUAUGCUGUACUCUGUAAUGGUGUUUAGGCAUGCUGUACUCUGUAAUGGUGUUUAGGUAUGCUGUACUCUGUAAUGGUGUUUAGAUAUGCUGUACUCUGUAAUGGUGUCUAGGUAUGCUGUACUCUGUAAUGGUGUUUAGGUAUGCUGUAUCUCUGUAAUGGUGUCUAGGUAUGCUGUACUCUGUAAUGGUGUUUAGGUAUGCUGUACUCUGUAAUGGUGUUUAGAUAUGCUGUACUCUGUAAUGGUGUCUAGGUAUGCUGUACUCUGUAAUGGUGUUUAGGUAUGCUGUACUCUGUAAUGGUGUUUAGGUAUGCUGUAUCUCUGUAAUGGUGUCUAGGUAUGCUGUACUCUGUAUCCAUGUAAUGGUGUUUAGGUAUGCUGUACUCUGUAUCUCUGUAAUGGUGUUUAGGUAUGCUGUAUCUCUGUAAUGGUGUCUAGGUAUGCUGUACUCUGUAAUGGUGUUUAGGCAUGCUGUACUCUGUAAUGGUGUUUAGGUAUGCUGUACUCUGUAAUGGUGUUUAGA